UACGUAGGUGGCAAGCGUUGUCCGGAUUUAUUGGGUUUAAAGGGUGCGUAGGCGGUUCCAUAAGUCAGUGGUGAAAUACGGCAGCUCAACUGUCGAGGUGCCAUUGAUACUGCGGAACUUGAGUACUGAUGAGGUAGGCGGAAUUGACGGUGUAGCGGUGAAAUGCUUAGAUAUCGUCAAGAACACCGAUAGCGAAGGCAGCUAACCAAGCAGUAACUGACGCUGAGGCACGAAAGUGCGGGGAUCAAACAGG
rnacentral:rRNA from 1 species